rnacentral:misc_RNA from 1 species
AGCAGCCGCGGUAAUUCCAGCUCCAAUAGCGUAUAUUAAAGUUGUUGCAGUUAAAAAGCUCGUAGUUGAAUUUCGGGAUUGACGUGAUGGUCGUGCCUUACGGGGUAUGAACUGUUGCUGUUGAUUUCUCACCUUCUGGAGAAACUUGAUGUCCUUAAUUGGGUGUCUUGCGGAUCCAGGACCUUUACCUUGAAAAAUUGAGUGUUUAAAGCAGGCAUUUUGCUCGAAUACAUUAGCAUGGAAUAAUAGAAUAGGACGGCAUGGUUCUAUUUUGUUGGUUUCUAGGAUCACCGUAAUGAUUAAUAGGGAUAGUUGGGGGCAUUAGUAUUCAAUUGUCAGAGGUGAAAUUCUUGGAUUUAUUGAAGACUAACUACUGCGAAAGCAUUUGCCAAGGAUGUUUUCAUUAAUCAAGAACGAAAGUUAGGGGAUCGAAGACGAUCAGAUACCGUCGUAGUCUAACCAUAAACUAUGCCGACUAGGGAUCGGAUGAUGUUAAUUUAUAAUGACUCU